ensembl:lncRNA
ACCGGGCCGAGGCGAGCCGAGGCGAGCCGAGCCGUGCUGAGCCGGCUGAGCCGUGCUGGGGAGGUUUGGGGCUGAGGGAGUGUUGUAGCGAGCGGGCGCCGUCAUGGCCGGCGGGAUCGUUAGGUCGCCGGCCGCCUGGCGCGGUGGCGCCGCUCUCUUGGGAAAAGUCGCCCGCCAGGAGUUCUCCGCCAACGUUAUCCGCGAGGAGGAGCCGUUGUGGACGAGGAGGUCGGUGGUAUUCACGUGUCGAAGGCGAUAACCUUUGCCUCGAUGUGGAAGUGUCUGACGUAGCGCCAGCCUCACCGUGCUAAUCCAAAGCGUUCUUUCACCGGAGUCCGCGGUGUUCUUGAGGAUGGAGAGUUAACACGGCCUCCGUCGGGAUAACCCCAGGUUCUUUGAAAAUGCCUUGGUCAAAAGUAGGAUAGGAAGGCGAUAUUUGGCCAUAACUGAAGGAUGGUGAGCCACCGUUUGCCGCUUGAGUGGUUAAGCAGGGUCUUAAUAUGAGAGUGAAAUAAGCGCAAAUGGAGGUGCUUUUGUUUGGGUUUAAAAUCGCUCUGUGCUCGUAGCAGCAGGAGCCUGUGAAAACAUGUCUUGUGCAUAGAAGGGAGAGGGCUUUGCCGAUUCAAAGAUCCCUUAGGAAGAAUCGCUGUUUUGUCUUGCGUUUGGGGUACGCGUUCAGUGGGGCGUAGCGAUCUGCUUCAGCUAUUGCCUUUCUCCGAAGCCAAUCCCGUUUUAAGCGUGUCCUCUUCCUCCAGUGCCUUGCGUUCCAUGAUAUUUCACCGCAAGCUCCUACGCUUUUUCCUAGCCGCUCCCCAGAAGGCCGUUGUCGGGUUAUCCGGAGCAGAAGAUUGUGGCGCACCUGUAAGUACCGUGGAAGCUUUCUGUACACGAAACGGUGCCAGUAAGUGGUAUGUAAUUUAGUAGGCUCUGUCCCGUCGCCUCGUUUCCUCUCGAUGUUGCAAAGAGGCACAGUAGGCUAUUUGGGCUUUCCCGACGCCAUAAUCUUUUGCCUCUAGCUUGUAACGGAGCUGAGCGUUUUGACUAAGGGUAGUGAGAGAGAGCGAUGCUCAUUUCUGGGUACGUACUUGAUGCAAAAUGCAGCGCUGUUCAGAAGUAUGGCCCUAUGCCUGUUCUCGCUGUUUCCAGACAGUGGUCCUUGCUCUAAUAUGGAGAAGAGGGCUUGGGGUUUUGAGCAGGUCGGAGGCGAGGAAGGGGAAAGCUGGCUGAGGGGUGCUGGAUGUCUCAUUUUCAGCUGUAGAAGUCAAGUCCCGUGGCUUUGGCGUGGGCUCACAAAGCCUACACUGAGUUUUUCUUUUCUGCCGGAAAGACUUAGGUUGCCCGAAGAUAUAAUGGGGGGCUGGAAGUCCGAGACAAAUCUGGCUUCUGUGCCCGAUUUGUAGUCCGUUACUGUCUAGCUGGGGGUGGGGAGGGGGUUAAAACAAAAAAGGAAAAAAAAGGUGGCAAGUCCCAUAGCUGCCCCUCCCCCCAUUAUGCAUAAUCGGUCUUUGUAGCUUUGCUUGGAAUGUGUCAGUUGCAGAAAGGCAGUAAUUUGAAGAGCGGCCCUUGAAUGGCGAAGAACUAGUUAACCGCGUUCUGUGGCUGGUUCUCUGCUCGCCUUCCUUGGCUUCCUGCCCUCUCCACCCUUCAUUGUGUUGUGGCAUGCUCCGUUACGUAACGUUAUUUCCUUCUCCAGCUUCUUGGGCGUUUGAUGAUUGUUGGCGAGAAGUGUGCUGCUAGCCUGGGCUUGACCGAUGGAUUCCGGAUGGCUGUGAGAUACCCACCCUCAGUCCCUUCAGACUACCGCGCGCGGCUCUGUAUUCUGGGUGGCCGUCAGUUGGGCCAGCCUCCUGGCUAAGAUGUUUGCACCGCCGGUGUUGCUGCACGCGUACGGAUCGCCACCGAAUGGGUUUCACGUGUUGCCCGUCAGCCUAGCCACCGGUGACAUGUAAUUGUUUUUGGUGGGUGCCUAUGGAGGGUAAUGAAAAGCUUUGAGCAGCAUUUGCAGAAUAAAGAUGGAGCAUGGGGAU